rnacentral:rRNA from 1 species
UGGGGAAUAUUGCGCAAUGGGGGGAACCCUGACGCAGCCAUGCCGCGUGAAUGAAGAAGGCCUUAGGGUUGUAAAGUUCUUUCGGUAUUGAGGAAGGUUGAUGUGUUAAUAGCACAUCAAAUUGACGUUAAAUACAGAAGAAGCACCGGCUAACUCCGUGCCAGCAGCCGCGGUAAUACGGAGGGUGCGAGCGUUAAUCGGAAUAACUGGGCGUAAAGGGCACGCAGGCGGUUAUUUAAGUGAGGUGUGAAAGCCCUGGGCUUAGCCUAGGAAUUGCAUUUCAGACUGGGUAACUAGAGUACUUUAGGGAGGGGUAGAAUUCCACGUGUAGCGGUGAAAUGCGUAGAGAUGUGGAGGAAUACCGAAGGCGAAGGCAGCCCCUUGGGAAUGUACUGACGCUCAUGUGCGAAAGCGUGGGGAGCAAACAGGAUUAGAUACCCUGGUAGUCCACGCUGUAAACGUUGUCGAUUUGGGGGUUGGGGUUUAACUCUGGCGCCCGUAGCUAACGUGAUAAAUCGACCGCCUGGGGAGUACGGCCGCAAGGUUA